rnacentral:rRNA from 1 species
AGAGUUUGAUCCUGGCUCAGAAUGAACGUUGGCGGCGUGGAUUAGGCAUGCAAGUCGGACGGGCCGCAAGGCCAGUGGCGUAAGGGUGAGUAAGGCGACGGCAACCAUCCCCACGGUUGGGUAUAGCCGCGAGAAAUCGCGGGUAAUCCCCAGCGACGCGCGGCGUCGGCAUCGACGCCCCGCCAAAGGCUCGCCGCCGUGGGACGGGCCGUCGUGGUAUUAGGUCGUUGGCGGGGUAACGGCCCACCAAGCCUGCGAUGCCUACCGGGUGUGCGAGCAUGGCCCGGCACACUGGGACUGAGACACUGCCCAGACUCCUACGGGAGGCUGCAGUCGAGAAUCUUCGGCAAUGGGCGCAAGCCUGACCGAGCGACGCCGCGUGGAGGACGAAGGCCUUCGGGUUGUAAACUCCUGUCGAGGGGAAGGAAGGGGCCGCAAGGCCCUUGACCGCUCCCUGGAGGAAGCACGGGCUAAGUUCGUGCCAGCAGCCGUGGUAAGACGAACCGUGCGAACGUUAUUCGGAAUCACUGGGCUUAAAGCGCGUGUAGGCGGGAUGGCGCGUCGGCCGCUGAAAUCCCCCGGCUCAACCGGGGAAGUGGCGCCGAUACGGCCGCCCUGGAGCGACGUAGGGGGGACCGGAACUUCCGGUGGAGCGGUGAAAUGCGUUGAGAUCGGAAGGAACGCCCGUGGCGAAAGCGGGUCCCUGGACGUCGGCUGACGCUGAGACGCGAAAGCCAGGGGAGCGAACGGGAUUAGAUACCCCGGUAGUCCUGGCCGUAAACGAUGGGCACUGGGUAGGGGGCUCGCCGAUGGGCUCCCUGCCGUAGGGAAACCGUGAAGUGCCCCGCCUGGGGAGUAUGGUCGCAAGGCUGAAACUUAAAGGAAUUGACGG